CUCACUCCUCCUCACAACCCCGGCCUAACAAAAGAAAACCAACCUCAGCGUUUUAGAACCAAAAAGAGAAACGGAGUAAAUAGUUAACAAACAAAUUUUAAAAAAAGAAAGAAAAAAAGAUUAAAGAUUAAAAGAAUAAAAUAAAGUUUCAAAAAAGAAGGGAACUAAGAAAAGAAGAGGCUACAAACUAUAGGCAUACUACUACUACUACUACUAACUGUUACUACUAACUGUUACUACUCAAUACUUGCCUUUUAACACUUGAAUCCAGUGAGUUGGCUCAAUUGGAAAGAUGGGGUCUUUCUCUUUUCUUUUCUCUUAUUUUUUUCCUUCCUUGAUCUCUUUCUUUUUUUUUUCUUAAACUCACUCGGGGCUACAAGCCCAGAAACCAAGUGGCCAUUUUUCCUAUCACAUUUUGGCAAAGGGAGAGUUUGAAGCAAAAGGUGUGGGAGCAGAGGCGGAGCAAGAAGACACAGUGGGAGAAGAGAUUUGGUUUUUAG
rnacentral:lncRNA from 1 species